rnacentral:tRNA from 1 species
UCCCUGAUAGCUCAGUUGGUAAAGAAUCCGCCUGCAAUGCAGGAGACCCUGGUUUGAUUCCUGGGUAGGGAA